ACGAACGCUGGCGGCGCGUCUUAAACAUGCCAGUCGAACGGCAGGAAGGGGCUUGCCCCUUCUGAGAGUGGCGGACUGGUGAGUAACACGUGGGUGACAUACCUUUUAGUUGGGGAUAGCUAUUAGAAAUAGUGGGUAAUACCGAAUGUGACCGUACCUGUUAGAGGGGUACGAGGAAAGGAGCUAAGGCUUCGCUAAAAGAAUGGCUCGCGGCCCAUUAUGCUCGUUGGUGAGGUAACGGCCCACCAAGGCGAUGAUGGGUAUCCGGCCUGAGAGGGUGAACGGACACAUUGGGACUGAGAUACGGCCCAGACUUCUACGGGAGGCAGCAGUUAAGAAUAUUCCGCAAUGGACGAAAGUCUGACGGAGCGACGCCGCGUGGAUGAAGAAUGCCGAAAGGUUGUAAAAUCCUUUUAAGCCUGAUGAAUAAGCACAGUAGGGAAUGAUUGUGCGGUGACCGUAGGGCUUGAAUAAGCACCGGCUAAUUACGUG
rnacentral:rRNA from 1 species